GGGAAAGGCAACCUACUCAUCAUCAUGGCUCUCUUUUGAAUUGUAUUGGUCUUUCACAAAGGCUAAGAAGGCACUUCUCAGUUUGUUAUAGUUAAGCAUGGGAUUUCUUUGGUUCUGAAGCAGAGUUUGCCUGUGAUAUUCCUUGAGGUUCUGCUUACUGCAGCCUGGAAGUUACUGAAAGGAGAAAAGAUGCUACAGUUUAGGGAACUAUCUAUCUUGGACAAGGUGUAUUCCGGCAUUGGUAAAUUGAAUCCCGGGCAACUGAAUAUCAAAGAUAGAAAUGGAAAGAACAGAAAAAAUCCAGCAAAG
rnacentral:lncRNA from 1 species